UUACUAAAAAAUUUCUGGAAAAUUUAUGGAGCCUGAAGGUUUAUUACUGUGUUCACAAGGGCCUGCCUUCUAGGUGUUUGAUUUCAAUUUCCUGAUUCAUACACCACUUACCCAUUUUGAUGUGAGAUGCCAAAACUGCAUAUAGACAGAGAAGCAUGUUGUGUGAGAAUGAGGAAGUGGGACAGAUUUUGUUGACAAGUUGAGCGAUAUUUCCAAACCUUUAUGAUUCUAAUGGAUCAGGGAGUUUGUGUGCUGUUGCUUCUUUUUCUUGAUUCAAUCUAAAAAAUGUGAGACUUGCCCAUACUUACUCAUGAAUCUUGUCAGAAUAAUGGAUAACUGUGGUACAGACAAGAUUCAGACCCUGUAGCAUAUGUAGGAGACAUGAGAAAUGCAUAUAAAAUUUUAGAUGGAAAACUCUUAUGCAAGAGUCCACUUAAAAGACCUAAGCACAGUUGGGUUGAUAAUAUUAAAGUGGGUAUUAAACAAAUAGGAUUGGAGGAUAUGAAUAGAAUUCAUCUUAUUUAAGUAGGGUGCUCUGGCUAUCUCUGUGAACACAGUAAUAAACCUUUGGACUGCAUAAUGGUUGGGGAAGUUUUUAACUGGCUGAGGGGCUCUUAGCUUCCCAAGAAGGGUGAUUUUCCUUCAAGUUAGUUAUAGUUGUCUUUGGUCUGCAGCAUGCAGAACUUGUGAAUGCUCGUUUACUCUAGUGUAUAGAAAGGAGAGGGAGUCAGGCCUCACACAUUGUGAUGUCAAGAACCUUCCUCAGGAAGGAGAGGAUUCUAUCUGCAAGAUGGAGGGACAGCCAAAAAAUUUGAGAUGAACAUUUGGGCAUUAAAUGAUCCAUAAACUUCAUUUGUGUUCACUUCACAUUUGAAAUGAGGGAUUUCGUUGUUGCUACUGCUUUUAUUGGAAUGCGGCUCGAAAGCAGCGACCACAAGCGCCUAGGCUUCCUUCAACUACUGGAAGGUCGGAGUUACCUGAACACACAUCUGCCUCUGAGUUAGAGAGUUCCUCAGACACAGAAGAAGAAUCUGAUAGUGAGCAGUCAUCUGACUUUGGGGCCAAUAACAGAGAAUGGUGGCACAAAAAUCGCAGAAGUUGAUGCAGCAACAGAUCUGGCACAAGUGUCAGAACCUGGUGAGCCACAAAGCACUGAAGAUGAAGCAUGUGAUAAGCCAUUAAAGAUUAAACCUUCUAGUUCAGAUAUGGGAGAUACAGAAGCAACAAAAUUAUCAGAUUCAUGAUUGCAAUACCAAUGAGGACAUUAUAUUGAAAAUUCAAAUCACUGAAUGCCAUACAUUUAGCUAGAUAUUUGAAAAUGAAGCGGUCUUAACUGUCAGUUUUAUUUUCAACUAGAUCAUUAAUUCAAAUCAAGUAAAUUGUGAACUAUGAUAAUUAGAUACUAAACUAUUUUAGUAUGUUUACAUCAUGUGCUGUAUUUUCCUGUUGGAAACAGAAAAGAGUCGUGUCUUUCCAUCAUUAUUUUAUUAACAUGCAGUUGAGGACAUUAAGAAGAGAUGGAGGGGACUGCGCGACACGUUCCGGAAGGAAUUAAAGAAAUGUAGUGACAAACGAUCUGGAAGUGGUGGAGACACAUCACAUGAACCUAAGUGGCCUUUUUUCAACCAAAUAUGGUUUUUGACAGACACUGUUGAGCCUAGAAGUAUGACAAGUAAUGUUCCUGAUGUAAGAUUUGAAGCUUUCACGGCGGUGACUAUGAAGAAAGCAGUCUUCUGGGAUUUGGCACCGUGUAU